ACUAGUGAGAGCUGGGCUUCGAGGAGUCAGUGUACAGGGAAGGCUAAGGACGCUUCGGUUCUGGAGAGUUGAGAUUAUGCCUUUUCGUCCACCCCCCUCAGGGGCUGCCCAGCGAGGUUUCUCACAACGUUAUUUCAACGUGCAUAACGUGGCAUACAGAAGUCGAAUUAGCAUUGCUUGUCUAUGGAAAAGAAAAAAAAAAAGAGAAUAACUGCAGUCCAAGGACAACUGCUCCAUGCCCCCUCGGCCAGUUGGUGCUGAUCAAAGGACAGCAGAGGAGAGGGUCCAAGCAUCUAGAGGCGUGUGUUCAUCAAGUGCUGUGAAGGUCCUCCAACAGCGGGUGCUGAAAGAUAUAUUUCAAAACCUGGAAAACAUUGAAUCAUUGAAACAAAGUUACUUGUGAAGUUGCCCGAUGAAAAAACCAAACAUCCAGAUUCUUCUAUCAUACACAUAUUGCCUUCGAAGAUCUCUGAGCACUAUAGUCGACAGCUCUGCGUUAUCUCCGCUUUGUCCUCUCUGCUAGUAAGACGGCCACAGCCCUGCAGACUGAAUAUGAAGGUGGUGAUAUAUUCUGCCACCUGUCCAUGGGCAGUGCUCCUUCCCAGCUAUGUCUUGCAUCCAGAACUGAUGUUUUGAGAAAGAGCUUGUUACACCCCCCAAAAAACUUGUUCACAAUAGCACCUAGAGUCACGGCACAUUUCACGUUCAUCUGUAAAGGACUUGAGCACAUUUAUCAAUGUCUUCAACUUUCUUAGACUGAAUUUUAUUCUAUUUUAUUUUGGAAUACAUUUAUUUUUCUAAUUGUAUUCAUUCAGCAGGUAUUCUACAAAAAAACUAUCACCGUGUUGAAAAUGGGUUUCAGAAGGGAAAUAAAUGUUUUAACACAGUGCAAAAUCCCACUGCCACUGCAAUGAAUGUGCAUUUUCUCAGUGUGUGAGUUUCCCUUUCAACAAUUAAGCAAUAUUUUAGAAGAAAGUUAAACAUUUGGGUUGGAGAGAUGGCUUAGCAGUUAAGGCACUUGCCUGCAAGGCCCGAAGGACCCAUGUUGUCCAGAUGCAUAAGGGGGCACAAGAGUCUGGAGUUUGUUUGCAGUGGCUGGAGGCCCUGGAAUGCCCAUUUGUGCUCUCUCUCUCUCUGCCUAUUUCUGUAUAUCUCUUUCAAAGAAAUAACUAAAAACAAAAUAUUAAAAAAUAAAAGAAGUUAAACUUUUGACACUUUAGGAA